UUCAUUACAUGUUGUGUAUUUAACCCUCUGUUCCCCCUCAUGUCCUUGUCAGAUUGUUUGUUGUUAUGUGCUCGUGUUGUAUUGGUGCGCGACGGGUUAUUAUACCCAUGUUUAUUUUAUUAUGUACGUUGGUUUUGGAGUUUGUUUUUUAACUUUAUUAAACUACUCCAGUUACACCAAGUUUGUUUCUCCUGCGCCUGACUUCCCUGCCACUUACACACACGUCGUGACAGACAGAUGGACAGACAGUUGUAUCUUCAGUGGUGCUUUUACAUGUUGUAUUUGUCUUAAACAUGAGCUGGUUAAAAAGAGCUGGUAAAAAAGGAGGGCUAUGUUUCACCGGUCACUGGUACAGUAAAAGACUUCCACAAUACAGUAUGUCAACAAUGACCGAGUUUAACCGAAGAACAGACCAAAGUUGUCCCAUGCAAUCAGCUGGCAAACUUCCUACAGCCAAAAGGACCAACAGCACAGACAACCGGUAAAUAUCAUUGUAUUCAACAUUCUGGCCUGUAGAGACAAUUGCAUCUUUUUUACAGCGACUUCUUUCAGUCUAUCUGUGGAGUAACCAUGGUAACAGUCUGAUAUUUAGACUGUUAGUUGCCUAUGUUAUGUUUCAGUAGCAUUACUGCCUGUGUGUGUAAGUAGUAGGGUGUGCACGCUCGCGGUUAUGUGGGUUGUUGUGGCUGAAAUGCCAGGGCUGAAUUUCUGCCCCAGUCCGCCCCUGAGGAGGGGUGUGCCCUCACUGACUGUAGUUCGGCAACCUGUGUUAGACUAAUCAAAUAGCCUACAAGCACUCUGAUCUCAUGACUUACUUCCUGGUCGUCUUUUUCCUUCUGUGAAGUGCCUGUGUUAUCGAACCUGCUACUAUGGUUAUUCUAAAAGGAAUACCGUCCAUUCUGUCGCCAGAGCUGCUGUAUGCUCUGGCCAAGAUGGGCCACGGAGACGAACUGGUUCUGGCUGAUACAAACUUCCCUACCUCCUCCACCUGCACCUGCGGUCCCAUUGAGAUCCGAGCUGAUGGUCUAGGGGCUGCUGAGCUUUUGGAGGCCAUUUUGAAGUUAUUGCCCCUGGAUACCUACGUCCUCAGCCCGGCUGCCGUGAUGGAGUUGGUGGACAGUGACAAAAAAAGGGGACUAGCCACUCCUGUAUGGGACAUCUUCAGACAGAAGCUGGCACAUGCUGGGGUACAGGCUCCUCUAGAGAAGGUGGAGAGAUUUGCAUUCUAUGAACGAGCCAAGAAAGCCUUUGCUGUUGUAGCAACUGGGGAGACAGCGCUCUAUGGGUGCCUGAUACUGAAGAAGGGAGUCAUCCCGGGUGAACUACUAGAUUGACACACACAAUGAAUGUUAUCGACGGGGCACAACCAAAUUUCGCAUUGCCUAACAAAUUACCUAAGAAUUUGAGUUUGCAUGUUUCUGAGAAACAUCUAGAUUUUCUUUAAAAAUAUAUAUUAUGUUGAUGUCACGAUCCGUCUGAAAUCGAAUAUGCAAUGUAUCAAUUGUAAAUAAACAAUAGUGAUUUUUCUAUUCGUAUUCCAUGUGAAUGAUUAAGUAGAUGUAAGACAGACACAUUACAGUAGAGGUUACAAGUGUCUUUAAUGUUUUAGAAGAUCAACUUAUACAGUACUGGUUAUUAAACAUAAUAAACGGUUAGAUCCAUACAGUGUUAGUUUAUAGACUUCUAUAGAGUCACUCCGAUGUGCAUUUAACCCAUUGCUGUAUGUACAGCUUUUAACUGUAUUUGAUUGGAUGCAGUAGAGCUGUAUCUGACUGUAGAGUUGACAGUCAGUUAGGGGGCAGAUAUCAUGGGUCUUAGGUGUUUAAUUAAUGAUGAUAGAGGUCAUCCAGGUCCUCUUCUGGUUCUCUGUACAUCCUCUGAGAGGGCCGAUCGGCAGACUGCUGCCUGUCCUGGCCAGGUACAGGUACAGGCAGGUCACCAUGGUAGAGGUCAUCCCUGUCUUCCUCUGGCUCACUAUGACCCUUCACCUCUGCCCCUACAGCAGCUAGCUCCCCCUGGUGAGGCACGUCCACUUGGUACUGCCCGUCUCCCCUUUUCAUCUCUGGAUGGUAGAGUUCGUCCCAGUCCUCUUCAGGGUGCCGUGGAUCCACCUGGCCUGAGAAGAGAUGAGAGAUGUUAUCUAGAUCUAUCCCAGCCUCCUGGUAGUACUUGGUGUUAUCCUCCUCAAGGGGCUCUGUCUGGAUGGCCAUCCGAACGAAGGUGUCCUCUGGCUGAGAUCGGGCUCUGGCCAGGUCAGCCUCGUGGGUCUGCUCCAUGGAUGGGUGGUAUAGAUGGUCCAUGUCCUCCUCGGUUGUGGAGUAUCUGCCUUGGACUACCUCUUUUUCUACCUUCUGUCUCUUCCCACCUCCCCCUCUCAUGUUCUUCCAGAUGGCCAUGACAGGGUGGAUGUCAUUGUUAGUGAUGUCCAUGUCUUCAGGAGCCUCCACCUGCUUCAGCCCCAGAUCAAACAUCACCCUCUCCUUUUCAGACCUAAAGAGGGAGUGAACAGUGAAGCAUUAUUACUGGGUGGAGGGAGGGAAACACAGACCGGGAUUCAAUCUGUAUAAUGCUGUGGACAAUGUUACCGCGUUUGUGGAAAUCACAUUCAAGGUAAACGGCGCGUUGUCGACAAAGUGCGAUUGGCUUGCAUCCCGGCUUUAGGCUGAUACACAUUUUCUGCACAGGUCUGCAUAUUUUAUUAUAUAUGAACCGAAAGAUAACAGAACAGAGAGGACUCACAUCAGAGUCUCCUGGACUGCAUACUCAGCCACUUUAUCCUGCAAGAGCGAGAACAGAAGACUGGUACAUAGGAGAAUAAUAGUACAUAGUACACUUAAGGGAGGCGAGUACAUACAUUGAAGUAAUGUUAUAUUUAUGCAGUCUACAGUACGUACCCAGGACUUGUAUGGCUUGGCUGAGUUGCCAUAAACCAGUAGAGAGAUGCAGAUCAACACAGAAAUUCUGAGAGGAAGAGAGACAUGAUGAUCAACUGACUAUUGAUGAUUAUUAACCUGAUUAACUGACAACUGAUUCACUGUGUUCUGAUGUAACGUGUACUAUAUGGCAGUGGUUUUCCCCUGAAAGUACUGGAAGAGGUUCUUACCUGAACAUGUUGUCUCUGUGAAGUGUUCUUCGUGUGUGUUUCUCAGCUGAGAUCAUAGUCUGGGUGAUACACACACCUGUCCUGACACACAAUAGAUCAAAGGUUGUAUAAUAAACUCUGAUUUUGACCUUUGAACUCACCCAGUUAUUCAGAGUUAUUAGUCAUGUUGGCUGUCAUGUUUGGGUUGUGUGGCUAUGUAAUUUGUAUAAGCUGUUUAGUUUUGUGUAUACACUAUGAGAAGUUGUUGUCAUGUGGAAAAUGAAGUCAUAAGUGACAUUUUAACCUCGCCAUCACCACUGCUACACACUAAAGAUUGGCUCUAACUGUUCUUAAUCUGUGAUAGAUUU
rnacentral:lncRNA from 1 species